AUUGAACGCUGGCGGCAUGCUUUACACAUGCAAGUCGAACGGGCUGGGGGCAACUCCAGUCAGUGGCGAACGGGUGAGUAAUGCAUCGGAACGUGUCCCGUAGUGGGGGAUAACCCGGCGAAAGCCGGACUAAUACCGCAUAUGCUCUACGGAGGAAAGUGGGGGACCGCAAGGCCUCACGCUAUGGGAGCGGCCGAUGUCCGAUUAGCUUGUUGGUGGGGUAAUGGCCUACCAAGGCGACGAUCGGUAGCUGGUCUGAGAGGAUGAUCAGCCACACUGGGACUGAGACACGGCCCAGACUCCUACGGGAGGCAGCAGUGGGGAAUUUUGGGCAAUGGGCGAAAGCCUGACCCAGCAACGCCGCGUGAAGGAUGAAAUCCCUCGGGAUGUAAACUUCGCAAGAACGGGAAGAAUAAGUGAAAGUUAAUAUCUUUCAUGAUGACGGUACCGUUUGUAAGCUCCGGCUAACUCCGUGCCAGCCGCCG
rnacentral:rRNA from 1 species